UACGUAGGGUGCAAGCGUUAAUCGGAAUUACUGGGCGUAAAGGGUGCGUAGGCGGUCGGGUAAGUCUGACGUGAAAUCUUCAAGCUCAACCUGGGAACUGCGUCCGAUACUGGCAGGCUUGAAUCCGGGAGAGGGAUGUGGAAUUCCAGGUGUAGCGGUGAAAUGCGUAGAUAUCUGGAGGAACACCGGUGGCGAAGGCGACAUCCUGGACCGGUAUUGACGCUGAGGCGCGAAAGCCAGGGGAGCAAACGGG
rnacentral:rRNA from 1 species